AGAGGAAUAGCUGGGUCAAAUGGUGGUUCCAUUCCCAGAUUUCCAAGGAAUCUCCAUACUGCUUUCCAAAUUGGCUGCACCAAUUUGCAGUCCCACCAGCAAU
rnacentral:pre_miRNA from 1 species